rnacentral:lncRNA from 1 species
CCUUAGAAAAGAAGAUCGUCAUCAGUAGGGAUGUCAUCUUCGAUGAAAAUUUAGUUCUUCAAAAGCAAGAUGGCAUAGAAGAGCAGUAGGAGGUCCAGCAAUGCAGCACUGGACAACUAACAUCCUAUUCUAUUUUGCCACUUGUAGGUACAUCGAGAGGAUUUGAUAUUCAGGUGGAGCACUCUCCAAAGGUAUCUCCAUAGGUGGAGAGAGUUUGAAUGGAUGAAAGAAGCCAGGAGGUCCAGCA